AUUGAACGCUGGCGGCAGGCCUAACACAUGCAAGUCGAACGAGGGGGGGAAGGGUGAGUAAUGACUGGGAAACUGCCCGAGGGAGGGGGGUAACUACUGGAAACGGUAGCUAAUACCGCAUACAAUCGGAUGGGCCCAGAUGGGAUUAGCUAGUAGGUGGGGUAACGGCUCACCUAGGCGACGAUCCCUAGCUGGUCUGAGAGGAUGACCAGCCACACUGGAACUGAGACACGGUCCAGACUCCUACGGGAGGCAGCAGUGGGGAAUAUUGCACAAUGGGCGCAAGCCUGAUGCAGCCAUGCCGCGUGUAUGAAGAAGGCCUUCGGGUUGUAAAGUACUUUCAGCGAGGAGGCGUUACUCGCAGAAGAAGCACCGGCUAACUCCGUGCCAGCAGCCGCGGUAAUUC
rnacentral:rRNA from 1 species